rnacentral:rRNA from 1 species
CCUACGGGAGGCAGCAGUGGGGAAUAUUGCACAAUGGGGGAAACCCUGAUGCAGCGACGCCGCGUGAGUGAAGAAGUAUUUCGGUACGUAAAGCUCUAUCAGCAGGGAAGAAAAUGACGGUACCUGACUAAGAAGCCCCGGCUAACUACGUGCCAGCAGCCGCGGUAAUACGUAGGGGGCAAGCGUUAUCCGGAUAUACUGGGGGUAAAGGGAGCGUAGACGGCAGCGCAAGGCUGGGGGGAAAUCCCAUGGAUUAACCAUGGGACUGCUUUGGAAACUGUGCAGCUAGAGUGCAGGAGAGGUAAGCGGAAUUCCUAGUGAAGCGGUGAAAUGCGUAGAUAUGAGGAGGAACACCAGUGGCGAAGGCGGCUUACUGGACUGUAACUGACGUUGAGGCUCGAAAGCGUGGGGAGCAAACAGGAUUAGAUACCCUGGUAGUC